AAGAUAAGGCCUGACUUCUGCUCCCGCGGAGUGUCCGGGUUCAAAACCGCCUGCCGGCUCCUCGGGUGUUUGAGGAGUGUUGAAAUGGGAGGUGGCCCCCCAUCUUAUGGGCGGUGUAGGACGUGAUAAUAUCAACUUGCGAGCUGACCAGGAACUAAGUCGAGGGGCCGUUGAUCCGCUAGAUUUGGUUGGAUGCUGGUGAUGAGUUGCUGAACCCAACGAAUACAUUCUGAAGUCGGAUGGGGUGAAUGGAUUAGGGUGCAUCUCUAGCAGCGGAGAGCAGGGAACUGCCUCCAAGGGAAAGGGGGCCGCUGGUGAAGCUAUACCACCCUGUAGCCGCUGGUGAAGCUAUACCACCCUGUAACAACAUCAUACAGUGAUACAAGUUGAGGGAAUUCCAAACAGACUGAACUGCAUUACUGCCUAGAUAGGGGUCAUACAUACAUAUAUACAUAAAUGUGUUUUACAACGUGUUUUCGAGUUGCGUUACCCGACUCCAAAGUUGUAGUAACGCCCGCCCGUACGAGGACCCUGAGAAGGGCCCCAAGGGCCGAAGGCGAAUAUCGUCAUGGCGUACAUAACAUGUAUGUAUAUCCAUACCUAUACAUCCAUCCAUACCUAUCGCCACAGCUCUCACCUGCCGCCGUCACGGUCGCGGUCACGGUCGCGUCCCCGAUCUCGAUCUCGAUCCCCCACCUGUACAUAGAGAGGGGAAAGGAGGUGAGGGGGAGGGGGGAACAGAGGGGACAUACGUUGCAAUGCGAAGGUGAGCCCAAUGCAAUUAAGGGAGGAUGUGCCACCACCAGCACCAGCUGCACCACCCCAUCUGUCAUACCAGACCACAGAGAGAGCGCCACUCGUGGGGGCUGUCAGGUAGGCAGGUGUGUGGAUACGUAAGGGCGUAUGUAUGUAUAUGAAAGGCCUCCGAAGAACCCACUUUGUUCGUCUGUCUGUCUGUCUGUCUGUCCGUCCAGACGAUAUUCAGCCCGGGGGGCCCCGAGGUCCGCCAGUUCCGCGAUCUGCCAGCACACCACCCACCCGUCCAGCCGCCACUCACCUCCUUGCCCCUAUCUCCCCCUCCCCCACGGGGCCCCCGGUCGUCUCUCUCCUUCAACGCAGCAGGGCGGCAGGAGGGAGGGAGGGAGGGAGGGAGGGAGGCAGGAGGAAAAGAAGAACCCAAGCAAGUAAGUCAUCCCUAGCGACGCAAAAGCGGCAAAGGAAAGGGAGGAUCGAGGCUAUGAUGUUCAGGCCUGCUGCCGAAGGGUCCCCACCCCGACCCCACUCUGAGGGACUUGACAUAAGCCCCACCACUUCGCGACGGAGGACCCACAAGCACAGUGACAAGGAACCCACUCGCGAAUUCCCACGAGUCAGCACCCCCGGGGUAUUACGGGUUUUCCUUAAGGUAGUGUAUUCUAAUUUCGGGAGCAACUCCUCGUCGCAUGCACAGCGAUCCGCUUUUCUGGUAGGGAUACAUACAUACACCAGGGUUUGGAACUACUGGUAACGCGCGACCAUUGCCCCCGGGAGAUCCCGGGAUCGAUACCCAUUAGGGUCAAAAGUCCUUCCGAUGGUGGAAGGCAUUGCGCCCCUAGUUGAUGGACGGUGGUGACCUGGGAUAAAGUUAACCUGCGAGCCGACCAGGAAUGGAGUUGGGCCGCUGUCGACCCGGCAGAUUCCAUUGGAUGCUGGUGGUGGGUGCGGAACCUGAGCGAUCCACUGAGAAGUUGACUAGGGUGACUGGAUGAGGGUGCCCCGAAAUACCGGGGAAGGCAGGGUUUCGCAGGGUAGCUGCCAUGGGCGAAGAUACACCCCCCUGUUUCAUACAUCAUACAGCCAAAGAUACAUACAUACAGCCAAACACACAGGUGAACCGCUUGCCUCCACGGACAGUCGCAUACAGUAUUUCCAUACGUAUUUUCCAUACACCCCUUCACCCCGACCCCUCUACAACCACGCACACCCACAUACCUUGCUCUCGCGCUCCUUGUCGAAGCGGCCACCACCACCACCACCACCACCUCCUCGUUCUUCAUAGUACUCAUUGUGGCCUCGAUCCCGUUGCUGCUGGGGCUGGGGCUGCUGGAGGGGCUGCUGCUGCUCCUUCUCCCCUUUUUGGUACUCCCGAUGCUCUCCUCCUCCUCCUCCUCCUCCUCCCUUGCCAUCCCCAGCCCCCCUCUGCUGCCGCUGCUGCUGCUGCUGCUGCUCCUUCUCCCCUCGCUCCUUGAUGUCUCGCUGGUCCUUCUCCUUCUCCAACCCCUCUCGACGCGAUGGGGGUGACGGGCCCCCACCGCCGUCCACAUCCUGCUGUCUGACCUUCUCCCUCUCCUUCUCUCUUGCGGCCCCACCCCCCGCUCCCUUCUCCGACUUCCGGUCCUUGUGGUCGCUACCUCCUCUACCCCCCGGCCCCGCUGGAGGAUUACUGCUCGCAUCCCUCUCACCACCCCCCUUGUUGUCCGUCCCGGUCCCCCGGUCCCGCUGAUUCCCCUCACGACCGCCACUGGUGCUGCUGGGGGCCGCUGCGGGCGGCGGCUGGGGCUGCUGCGGCUCCCGCUCACGUUCGCGGUCCCUGUCCCUGUCCCGGCCCCGUUGCUUCUCCUUCUCUCUGUCCCCGGUGCUUCUGGGAGCAGCAGAACCACCACCACCACCACCAGCGGCAGCAGCGGCCUGGGAGUCCUUGAUAUCCCCACGGGCCCCUCGCUCGGCGCGGCCCUCCCGCCUGCCAGGGAUGACACACGCACACGCAAUCACCCAUAACCGCUCAUGCACGGAGGAAUACACAAACGUGUGUGUGUGGUGGGGGGGGGGGGGAGAGAGGGCAAAGGCCCACUGAAGGGCAAGAACUGGCACAUCCAGCGGCUUCGCACACCUGGCAUUACCACUGGACAAUUCCUAAGGAUCCCUAGGUUUUCGUGCGCGCAGCAAGCCUCUAACGAGCAUAUGUGCGGGAUUGGUCCCAAGAGGCGGUAUACCUUAAUCCCAUUCAACCCCCUGCAUGUCUCUUGACUUAACCCUCCCCCCUUUCCCCAACACGCGCGCACACACACACAGAGGCACCCCUGCCAUCUUCCCUUCCCUCCCUUCCCCGUUCCCCUCGCCACACACACCUGCCAUCCUUGCCGUCCUUGCGCUCCCUCUCCUGGUGGACCUCUUCGCCCACCGACUUACCGUACCCGCCCUUCUCCAGGGGGGCGCCCCCCGUUCCCCCAGCAGACGGGGGAAGGGAUUCCCUGCUGACAGCAGCCGCAUCCACGUCCUUAGCCCCCUGCUGCUCUUGAGAGGCAGUGGCAGUGGUGGUGGCGGUAGCAGCAGCGGUGGAGGAGGGGUUGUUGUCGUCUGUUCGUACGGCGCGUGGCUCCCAGACGAUGGCUGGGCGCUUGCGAGCUGUGGAUUGUUAGUUUUAUCAUAAGCGAAGGGGCGCACGUGUGGGAAAAGGUGGGGUAGGGCGUACGGUGGGGUGAGGUGGGGUGGGGUGGGUAGUAGUGGGCGGGUGGGGUGGUGAAGCGCAGGAAAGGAGGAGGGUUUAGUGGCUUCGGGACAACGUUUGGCCGGAUUGGCGUGAGCUGUGGUGGCAUGGACCGGGAAGAUUGUGGUAUGUAUGGAUGAAUGGACCGAUUGACAAGAUGGAUUGGGGUAGGAAGGUGGGUGAGUGAGUGAUGGGCUUUUGGAAAGAAAGCUCCCGGCGGCAGUGCAGGCGCACGUGAUACCCGUUCCGCGUGCGGGCUCUGCAAAGAGUGAAUCACAGGGCCUGGGUGGUGAUAAGGGUUGAAGGGUGCCCAACUAGGGCGGUUCGAAGAGCUAGAACGGGGCCCCCCUCUUACGUCUCUCGACCUCCUUAUCCGAGGUCUCCCCACGGCGCUUGCCAGAGGCUUCUGCAUCCGACUUCCGCUCACGCUCUCGCUGGCGUGAAUCAUCCCUGCAGGUGCAGCCGUGUCAUGUUUGCGGGCCUGAUCUCAGUUGGCUUGGGCCGGGCAGCUUCCUCACCUUGCAGCAGGGCGCUCUUCCCCAGGGUUCUCUGUAAGGCAACACAUCAUUAAACUGAGUCAUGCGCGCGGCGAAGGAGGUUACCAGGAGAGCCAUUUUACAGUAUCCGACGGCGAAACAUACGACAAAGCUUCUGCACACAAACGGGCCAUUGGUCACAAGUUUCAUCCCAUUCUUACCACGGGGACUGGAAAGUCGUUCGAACACGCUUGGCUUUUUUUCUUUGACAGCAUCCUCUUUGACGUCCCCUUUUUCGCCCUUCCCACGCUUGUCUCCUUUCCCUCGACUUCGGCCCAUACUUGAGAUUAUUUCUCGUAUCAGGAUUCGACCACGACAGCUUCUAGUGACAUCAACUAUCGAGUUGCGGAAGGCACCCCCGUAAGCCCAAUUAUAAACGAUUUAAUUGAAAAUAGCAAUUAAGCUUUAUGAGUACACAAUUAGUUUUUCUGAUCUUUGAGGGUCGAUUACCUACCAGGCUUGACAAUAUGUUCGGGCGUACCAUAUCACAGCAUUCUUCAUGUUUAUUGCACGAGACAUUCUUUGCCGCUUAUGCCGCAUAAAAGUAUUCUGCCACGGCAAUAAGUUGCCGACAAUGAAGUUUUGUUAAGCUUUACUCCCAGCCUCCGUCAAAAGGAGUAGAUCAUGCUUGCAUCCCCUCUUAUGGCUUAUUGAAUCAGAAUUUAGUUCGAUAGAUUUUAGUCCGAAGCGUUGCGAUAAGUUUGCCUGUGUUCUUGAAAUGGCGGACUUUCGCAAACUACUUCCUGGCAGCCUGGCCGACGCUGCAAACCAAGAAGCAUUGACGGUGGAACAAUGCGCAGGUAGGAUCCAUGGCCGCCAGUAGCCUAUGCGGCAUCUGCAUUGGCAACACCGUGUAAGUUCUGCACCUUUUGACAAAAGCAGGAGCACGAGGCAGACCUCGCCGUGCAGCAGCGGCAGCUGCAGCUGACGUUCUCGUGGCGACGGCAUUGGAGGAGGAAGAAGAUGAAGACGACAGCUGUCCGGGCCCACGACGCGCAUCUAAACGCCGAGACGUUAGGACCGCCCGCUCUAGCUACGCCAGCAGCUAUUGUGUCCAGGCUUCAAACCUUGGCGUCAAUCCACCUGCCAGUAUGGAGGCUGUGGUCCCAACGCGCGACCCUUUCCCACAGGGGUUUCAACAUCAGGUCAACGACCCCGGCCUGGCCCCAAGACACCCCAGCGGCGUGCUUGCCACCGCCGCGUCUGCAGCCGGGCUUCCUUUUCCCUCAGUCGCGACCGCAGCCGCAGCCAUGCAAGCAGCCAACAUGCAGGCAACCCUCGCCUAUUACUACUCAGCCGCUGCAGUCAACAUGCAAAACAGCUUGGCCCAAAGCUUCCAAGGUCUGCAGGGUUUGCAUUCCGGACUCCAAACACUACCCUACCCCCUCUCCCAGAGCGGCGGCCCGCCGCAGAUCCUGGCCGGGGGCGGGGCAACAGCGCCGUAUGGCAUGGCGGCUCCGCCGCCGCCGCCGCCGCACAUCGGGGCGACCGCGAUGCCAACGGCGACAGCCGCCACAGGCCUGCUGCCGCCGGACGGCGCCGCAGCCGCAGCCGCGGCGGCGGCGGCGGGCGCGCCGCCGCGGAAGAGGGGUCGUCAAGCGGGAUCAGGUUCGGGCGCGUCCGCGGCUGCCAAUGCCGGCCAAAAAGCGCAUAUUGUCCCUGGAAACGGCAGCAAAUUCUUCCCGAAAGAAUCGCAGGUCCGUUCCCUUUCAAAAACUUUAUGUCGGUCGUGCAGGUCUAGCGGCCGGUGCUGCUGGCGAAUGCUGUUGAGAUGUGCACUACCGUGUUUAGAUCCGUUCUAGUAUAUUUUAACCACCUUUUGUGUGCGAACAGGGAACAUUGACAUUGUCAAAUUAUUGCUCUGGAGUUGUGUCCGUACGUGCGUGCGUUUUCAGGCAUGUCGCAGAUCAGUUGGGUGCUUGGGGAGUAGUGAUGCGGGUCUGGCUGGAAAUGUGGGCAGGAGAAGCGCUGUGGUGUUUUGCAGUACUACUGGAGGAUACGAUAUUGAAACUGGCAUGAAACCGGCACGCAGGCGUAUCUUGUAGCUCACACAAGCUCUUGCCCUUCUCAAUUCGCGCAUCCUGUGAAGACUCUGCGUGUGGGAAUUCCAGUUCCGAAAAAGCGCAUGCGCAUAUACAGCUUUUUGCCCAGAAGGCGCGACUUUAUGGCGAGUGGGAAAAAAUGCGCGCUUGUGCGCAUUUAGAUCUUGCCUAGAAAAACUUUGUUUUGCAUUGCCGGGACAGCAAACUGGAUUGUUAAUCUUUAUUACAAUUAUGCAAUCCAUGACAUCCAGUUAUUGUACGUCCUGUACGACGAAAGGCUCGAAAAGCCCGGUAUCCGAGGCUACCUUAAGGCGGAGUCUUUCGCUCCUGCUUUGCCAUUUAUGACAUCCGCCGCUUAUGUGCUCCUAGUAGAGCACGCUUUUCUUCCUUGUUACUCGUGCAUGUGUGUUUUCCCCGAUGCCCCGUCCCUAAUCAAUUUUCCGUUCCCUGCACCACAAAUAUCUUUUUUGUUGAGUUGAUUGCUCCAUCGAAUCUGUGCCCAUUUCAUUACCCGCCCAGGACAGUGAUGGAAUGUUUGUUUACCGCCCCUUUUCAAGUAUCCGUCUAUCUGUGAUAAUACAAUCUGCUUCAAUCGUCAGUGGUUCGUCUCCCACCCCCUUUCAGCAGCUUCACUCGUUCGUGGUUCGUCUCCCACCCCCCGCUUUCAUCUCCCCCUUGACUUCCAGCAGUUUGUCUUAGUGACGUCGGCAUUUGCUUGCUUUCCUUGACCUUUCAUGCAAUUUCCAUCCGUCUAUCUACACCCCUCGUCCCUCAUAUACCAUCCCGGAGGACUUUCCCCUCCAUCUUGAUGAGUUUGAGUUGCUGCGUAUUUAUUUAUGUGGGUAUCGGCAUUGGAUUGGAUUUGCAGGAGGAGGUGCGGCGGUUUCUGCUGCUGAUGUUGGAGCCCAAUCUGAAGCAGCGAGGGGAAGUGCCCUUGGUAAGUGGGCCUUCGAGGUGGAGAGAGGGGGGCUGAGUUGCGUCUGUGUGUUGUGGGUGUGUGGGUGUGUUGCGUGCCCAUGGACGAUGUCGCACCCGCGAACCACCAUGCGCGUUACCGAGCGGGAGGCCGAGCGCUGUAAACCCUAAGAGACAACAACACGGGGGGCCCAAAUACUCUGAAUGACGUAUCCGCCUAUUGCCAAUCUGUUUGUCUGUCUGUAUAUCGAUCAAUCUGUCUGUCUGUCUGUAUAUCUGUGUGUUGGAGGGAUGUGCGGAGGAGAAAUGCGUGACGUGCGUUACAGGAGGAGGGAGUUGGGAGGAGGGAGGAGAAGAAAGGGAGGGGAGCACUGCUACCCACUCGUCCAACCCCACCCCACCCCCAAUCCAUCACAAGUCAUGGCCCAAAACCAAACGAAAACCCGAGCGGCGGUCUUUGGAUUCGUCUGGACAUGUGCUCAUGUUCGGUGUGUGCGCCUUGGGGAGCCGUCGCGGGUUUCAGGAAGCCCUAACUGCUUAAUAACGGUUUGUGGCCUUCAGUCGUAAUUUGUCCUCCCAAGCAGUAUAUGCUUGAUAAGCGAGCGAGCGCGUGUGUGUAUGUGUGUUCUUAGCUUUCCAGCACCCACCUCCGUGGCUGGCUUGUGGUGUUUGGGGAUGGAUUGGGUUCUGGGUUGGUUUAGAUUGGAUUGAGCUGGCUCGCGUGCCUUCCCCCCUUCCCCUUGCCCCUUUGGUCCGCGUUUCUAAUCUCCUUUCCUCCUAUUCGGUUCGUAACCCAUAGGACGUCAGCUGGUCUGUCCUCUGUCCGCUCCUUGCUGAGGAGGAAAGUAAACGUAGAGGGCUUGCUGCUGUUGAUACUGCUGUUGAUACUGCGACUGUUCCGUGGGCGACGAGACAUCGCAUCACAGCGGUCCGCCGGUGCCCCUCCGCGGUCCAUGUUGCGGCCGCUUAGCUCCUCUCCCACCUAACUGCUUGCGGGUGCCCUUGCUGCUGCUGUCGCCAUGUUGCUGUUGCGGCUGUUGCUGUUCGUGUUGACCUGCAGAUUGACCGCCAGACGGCCUCCAAAUUGGAAGCUCAGUUGCGGCAGCUGGUACCUGCGGAGCAUGGGCUGGACUGGAGCGGUGAGGCUGGGGUGGUGGCUGGGGCGGGUGGGGGGUGGGAAGGGAGUUGGGCGGCGAGGGGGGUGGUGAGUGAGUGAGGACUCUCGACAGACGGCUUUUGGCACCCACCAUGGUGCGGUGGUUGCGUUGCUCCUGAUAUACAACCCCCCCCCUUCGCCUCCUUGCUAUGGUUCCUGCUGCUGCUGCUGCUGCUGCUACUAAUACUAAUACUAAUACUAACACUACUGCUACUACUAAUGGUACUGUUGCGCACUUCAUCAGGUCCCAUCGCCCGAUUGGAGCAGGCCAGUUACCGGGUAGUGGAGGACUUGUUUGGGGAUCUGCAGGUGGGCCAGGGCAGGGCAGGACAGGACAGGGCUGUCGGGGUGAUGUGGAGGGAGGUGAGCACAGGUGCAGAUGGUUUUCAAGGACAAGGUGAAAUCCAUUACCGAUAUCAAACUGCCGAUGUGCAAGAAACACAUCUGAUAAGUUGUGUGCACGUAUUUGUCUGUCUGUCUGUGUGUGUGUGUUUACAUAUGUACGUGUAUAUGUAUGUACGUGUGCGGGUAUGUGGGGAGGGUUGGCCGGUGUCGAGGGAGAGGGUGAAUGCCGGAAUGGGUUGUGAGAGUCCGUUGUUGUUGUUAUUUUUGUUAUGUGCUGCUCCACACGAACAUGGAUGGAUGGAAUGCAAGGUAAUGUAGAAUUUUUUGUGGAAAAGAAAGAUUGUUGAACCACGAGCCACCAUCGUAAACGUCGUCCUCGUCCUCGUCGUCGUCGUCGUGUACACACGCGCCCUUGGAGCCCUUAAUGGUCCCUCAUCACCUUUGGACGCCGGCAGUGCAUCUCUUGAGUUUCUUGCACAUGAUUUCCCCUCACCUCCAUGAUGUGUUUUUGCCAUCACCUUCACACACAUACACUCGUACACACACGUACACGGCGCACGCAGGAUCCCCUGGAUGAUGUAAUCACAGCACAGAUGCAGGCGCCGUCACGGUACGGCAGCGGCAACGGUAUUAACGGCCUCAACAAUGGUGGCGCCGCCGGGGCCCUCAGUCGCGCGGGCAGUAGCGGCGGCUUCGGAGAUGCUGCGAUGUACGGCAUGACGGCAGCGGCGGCAGGAGCAGGAGGCGGAGGAGGAGGAGAUGGCGGCGGCCCGGGUGAUUCGGCCGCGCCCACUGCCGCCGCCUCCAACCCCCGGCGACUUCGGCAGCUGAACUCCAUGAAGCAAACCUUUCUAUCUGGUAGGGCUGAGGAUUUUAAACGGGGUGGAAGCAGAUGCCGAGGGAAGGUUUAAGAGAAAGAGGAAAAAGAAGUGUGAGAGAUACCCUAAGUAAACCUUGAGAGCAAACCUUGAAAGCAAAAACCCUUUUAUCAGACGGGCCCGGGGACAGCUAUAAGGAAAAUACUCCGUCUUUGGUUUGUAUCCCCGAUUAUGGCCGUGUGUCGGAAAACUUCUUGCAGUAUCUGUCUAAUCCUGGAGUAUAUCCGUCUGUAUGUAGUGGUAUCUGCUUCACUUCGUCCUUGGUUCGCCUCCCUUCCGUCCCCCCGUCCGUCCGUCUGUCCGUCCGUCCGCGAGUGCAGACCUACAUGAGGCCAUAGACGAGCUGGUGCGGCGACGUGUGGAUGCGGACAAGCAGGUUAGUCCGGGGGAGGGAAGGGGGGAUGGAGGGGUGUGUGUGUAUGUGUAUGUGUGUCCGGGGGGGGAAAGGAAGGAGUUGACUGGUUAGGAUGCAGAUAAAGGCGGGGGGGGGAAGGUGUGUUUGGGUUGUGUGACCUCUUCCUCCACCAUCACCCCCCUUUUCGAGUAUCCGCACUCUGUCUCUGGUACCUGCUUCAAUCGUCAGUGGUUCGUCUUAACCCCCCUACCCUACCCCCCCUUUCGGUCAGUUCUACGUUUGAUACACUCUUGUCCUGGCAGCAGCUUCAAUCGUGUGUGGUUCGUCUUCACCCCCCUCCCCUCCCCCACGAAUCAGGCUGCUGCCAAGGAGUACGCGGACCGCAUGGCGGACAUCCUGGCGGGCCUCCCACCCGAGCUCGGGAGCAUACCAGAAAAUGUACCGGGAGCCGUACUGCCUGCGGCUGUACUGCACAACAAGGAGCCGUACUUUUCGGUUUCGGAGUGGCGGAAAGUGCCAUUCCCACCUAGGUGAGGCUUGGAUCUGGGUAUUGGAAAGAAUUGGAGGGCGAGGUUCCGCCAAGGAGGUGGUGGUGGUGGCGGUGGUUGGAAGGGCGGGAUAAAAUCUGUUAAAGAAAUGGUGAGGGGCAGGAAGAUGGGGGGGGAGCAGUAGGGGGUGGGGGGGUAAAGUACGGGUUUCGGAGGCUUUAGGAGUGGGGAUUAGCUCUCCUCAUCCCCCCCCCCCAAUCGUGUUUGUGGCACUCCCUCUUUGACGAGAUGACACUUGCCGUUCCGGUGGCAUUACCAGCACCCAUAUAGGUAUCAGCAUCGGUAUCAAUAUUGAAGCACAGGUCGAGAGGGCUUUGGAGUUCCAACAGACGUGGAUUUGCUCGUAGCAGCCACUACGGGCAGGGCAGGGCUGGUUGGUUGGUAUUUUUUUUGCUUGUGUUUGCGUGUUGUGACUCCGUCCUCCUCCACCUCCUCCGUUGGUACCGCCGGGAAAUGAUAGCGCAUGAAGGCCGCUCCUGAACCUCUGAUCGGAGAACACGGUCGGGGAAUCUGCGAUUUCCUUCUUGCGUGCCUUAUAAACACAUACAUACAUGCAUACGCAUGUAUAUACAUACAUACAUACAUACAUACAUACAUACAUACAUACAUACAUACAUACACACAUACACACAUACACACAUGUGGCACAGCCAUAUGUAUCGCCUGAAUAGGCAUUUCCCUCAUCGCGGCUCAGAUGAAAAUAAAAAUAAAAACACACACGCGCAGUUGGUAAUGUUGCAUCUUGGAGUUUGAAAUGAAUCCCACACCGCCCCCACUGGCCCUCAGCACUUGUAAUUGCGCUCAGCAACCUUCCCAUCUCCCACCCGCGCUUUUGCCCUUUUUUCGCUCUGCUUCCCAGGCAAUACGAGACCUUGACGUCGUACGCCAUCCGCAGUACGAUUCCUUCGGAGCGUGCCGUACUGGCGUACAAGCUGCAGACGAAGCGGCCCGACGGCGCUGCGGAGCACUUCACUUUGGAGCACAGCAAGGAACUCGGUCUGGAGGAGUGGUGCGUGUGUAUGUAUGUACGUGCGUAUGUAUGUAUGUAUGUAUGUAUGUAUGUAUGUAAUUGAUUUAUAUAUGCGGCCAGGGACCGGAAAAAGAGGCGUCAGCAAAUGUAUGUUGGUGUGUUUUGGUAUGUUUGCUGGAUGUGCGUGUGCGUGUCUGGAAUGAAUGAAUGUAUGUAUGUAUGUAUGAACGUGCAUAUGCCUGCGCGCCUGUGUGUGUAAUUUCAGGUAUAUUCAGUGGAUUGCUUAGUUGGUUUCGCUCUUGUGGGCAAUCGCUCCAGGCCACCACACCCCGGGGGCCUGCAGCUGGGUUCUCUCUCUCUCUCUCUCUCUUUGGCGGUUCGGAUCGGUGAUGUCUUCCUGAGUUGCCGUACAUAUUGCUGAGGUGACAUUAAGGACAUUAAUAAAUGGCUCCUCCUCUCCACCUUCCCUUCCCAGCAAGCACAAGGAGUCCGAGCUGGCGGCUGCUGUCCGGGCCCGCCGCGUGCUGGUGAUGGGGCAGCACGUCAAGGAGGUCGACUGCUGGGGAAUGGACUGCUACACACGGAGGAAUAUAUUCGACGGUACGACAGUGUUUUGGGGGUAGGGUGUAUAUGCAUGUAUGUAUAUGUAGAUAUGUUCUUGUUAUUGCGGAGGAUUAUCAAGUUCAUUUAUAUAUAUUGUAUGUAUUAUUAUUUAUAUAUUGAAUUGAAUUGAAUUGUUACAGAGUGGGAGGCUUAUUUAUAUAUAUAUAUAUAACAUACAUAGCCUCGCAACCCCGUCUACAUGUGUCGGGGAGGGGGAGAACACACGUAGAUGCAAAACGCGGGUCUCCAUGUCCCCUCAACGUAUGAUGGGGCAAGGAGGGGAGUAGGGGGGAAGACUUUAACCGCGAGCGAGUGAAGGGGUGGGGAAGGGAGGGGGAGAGGUGGGAGGAAGGAAAGGGGUAUGGAGGGUUGGCUCUGGGUCUGUGUGUGUGUGUGCGUGUGUGGGUGGGUUGGGGCGGGGCAGGUUUGAAUGGAAGAAUUGAACAUGUCUUCUCCAGCUACUACCACCAGGGCAGUCAUUUGGACGUGCCACUGUUGUUGGAUGUCGUACUCUGUCGUACUGCGAUAUUGGUAACGUGGGUUCGUCCACGCCCGCCGGGGUCGCUCCGUAUUUUGUGGUUCUUAACGCGCGUGUACGGCUUGUGUGUGUGUGUGUAUGGGUCGGGAUAGCUUUUGCGGUCUUUUUAAUCCCCUACCUCCCUUCCCCCCAUACACACACAUUCUCCCCCCCGGUCACCCCCCUCGGUCACUUCCAUGUGAUCCCAACCCCUCCCCGUCCUUCUAACUUUCCAGCGGUCCGAGAGAGCGGCGCUUUCAAGCACUGCCGUACUGGUAGCGGCGGCGUCACGACCACCACCACGACCACCCCUGCCACCGCCAGCCCCGAGCCCGAUGAUCCGGAUAUGGCGGAUACAGCUGCGGGGGCACGAGCCGGCGGCGGCGGCGGUAGUCGGCCGCCCUCUAACGGCUCAAGCCAUGGCGUCAGCGCUGCAGGCGCCGCAGUAACAGUUGGUGGAGGCGGCGGCGGCGGCGGCGGCGGCCUGGCGAACGGGGCGGCGGCGGCGGCAUCGCACAAGCUGAACGGCGGGGAAUUUGGAGGGGGGUUUGGUGGGGGUUUUGCGGGCGCGGCGGCCGGCCCUCUUAAGAAGGAGGAGGUGGCGGAGGUGAUGGUGGGUCCCGGUCUCGGACAGGUGACGGAGUCCACCUUGAACGAUGCCGCCAUCGCGGCGGCGCUGGCGGCGGAGGACGCCGAGGCUAGCGGCGGCGGCAGGGGCAGUACGGCGGGGAAGGCGCGUGGACGCGGCGGGCCGAGGCGGCGUGCGGCAGUGGCGGCGGGGGAGAAGUUGGCGGGCGGGGUGUGUGGGGAGGGCGAAGGAGGUGCAGCAGGGGCCCAGGUGGCGUUGCCGCCGCCGCCACCACCGUGCGACCAGGGGGAGGCGGAGGCGAUCAACGAUUGGAUCGACCGCCACGUGUUGUGUACGGCGAUUGCCAAGGUAGGUACGACGGGCGCAUACUGCACCCGAGUGGGGGGCUCGGGUAGGGGUGCAGGUGGCCGAAAUGUUUUGGGUUCCGACUUCACUCUAAAAGAGUGAAGCCUGUUUGCUACCUUCCUCUCGACCCUCCUCCGGGGACUUAGAAAUUAUUUUGACCGACCUCCCCCAGCGCACCAGCAGGCGUUGCCGUUGGGUGAAGUUGCUUCGAACCUCCGCUCCAAAACCCCACCCAAGGCCCCCUGGGUCGCACUCCAGGCAUCGCCAACCAACCAACUAACAACUAAUUAAUAACUCACCAACUGCUUUCCACAUGCCCCAAAUUUUCCCAACUUCCCCCAUGCGUCCCCCACGCGUCCUUAAAUGGAAGUUUGGAUGUUUCCAAUUUGGAUUUGGAUUUCCCCCUCCCUUCCCCCAAGGGACACCUCCAUUCCCUUCAAUAACCACCCCAUUUCGUCACCCCAUUUCGUCACGCCGCCGUACAGGGCCCCGACGGUUGGAACCUGUUGCGGGUUUUGGAGGCCGUACAGGCGGGAGCUCGGGAGCGGGGGGACAAACCCUGCAGCAAGGCAGCCAGCGCUGUCAUGGCCCGCCUUAAGCAGGUAGGAGGGAGACGGGGCGGGGAGAAGGGGGCGAAAGGAAAAUUGGGAAGGGGGAAGUUGUGUGAGAGGUACGCGCGAGCCGCACAUGCGAGUACGGCGAAAAAAUACCUCCUUCCGGCUCCUCCUCGAUUUUGUUGACUUCUAUGGACGGUGCCGUACAUGGCGCCUGUGUCGUGCCCUUCCGCCCCCCUUUCCGCUCACCCCGUUUCCCCCCCGCCGCUCUCGCCUCCCCGGCUCCCUUCGUGACGCUCUUCCCAGCACGCACCGUGCUCUUUCCUGCCCCUACUCGCAAUCGGUGUUAUGGGCACCAUUUGGGGUGUUAUUUGCUACCACGUUUUGCUACUAACCCCCUCCCCAGCUGCCGGGCCACCAACCCACUUCCUCGCAUAUGUUUUCCCCCCCAUACCCCCCAUACCCCCCAUACCCUCCAUACCCCCUACACGCCCCACACCCCUCACACCCAGGUACAUGACGCCCCAAAUGUUGGUGGUGGUAACGUUCACAGGAAAGCAGUUGCGUCUCCUGGCUUUGGACUCCAGCACGUACAUAUAUACAUACAUAUGCUUACCCACAUCCGGCCCCACCCCUUUUCCACCCCGUCUUGACCUUGCACCAUGUAUUUCCGCCCCUCCUUCCACCACUUAUCCGGGCCCGCCCCGCCCCCGCCCCAGAUCGGUUGGGCUUACUUCCGUCUUCACCCCAAGGGUCGCGGGGUGGUGUGUCAGGUGCCGGAGGGGCUGCCCGCCUUUUCCUUCGUGGAGGAGUACCUGGGCGAGCUGCACAGNNNNNNNNNNNNNNNNNNNNNNNNNNNNNNNNNNNNNNNNNNNNNNNNNNNNNNNNNNNNNNNNNNNNNNNNNNNNNNNNNNNNNNNNNNNNNNNNNNNNNNNNNNNNNNNNNNNNNNNNNNNNNNNNNNNNNNNNNNNNNNNNNNNNNNNNNNNNNNNNNNNNNNNNNNNNNNNNNNNNNNNNNNNNNNNNNNNNNNNNNNNNNNNNNNNNNNNNNNNNNNNNNNNNNNNNNNNNNNNNNNNNNNNNNNNNNNNNNNNNNNNNNNNNNNNNNNNNNNNNNNNNNNNNNNNNNNNNNNNNNNNNNNNNNNNNNNNNNNNNNNNNNNNNNNNNNNNNNNNNNNNNNNNNNNNNNNNNNNNNNNNNNNNNNNNNNNNNNNNNNNNNNNNNNNNNNNNNNNNNNNNNNNNNNNNNCUGUGUGUGAGUGUGUGUGUUGCGUGUAAUCCGGUCCAGGGAUCUGGCAGGAGGAUGGCACACGACGAGGUGGGUGUGGGGGUAAAAGGCGAACCACUGGCGAAUGGAGCAGAUACCAAAGAUAGACGGGUAGUCCAGGGGGGGGAGGGAGGGCAAGGGUAAUGGGGGGGACCGGGGGUGUUUGGCCAGAAGACGUGCUUCGCCUUGUCUGGUCGGGCGGGUCUCCCCGCCUCGAGCCCCGACCCACAUCCGGCCCCCCAUCGCACACCCGGCGGUCCUGCGGGUAUUUAUCUCCCGCGCCCGUGUUGUACACGUACACCCCCUCACGGCACUCGCUGUCCGGCGGCCAUUGACCGUCCGGAUCCUUUUUGCCUCAUUUGGUGCGUGUUUAUGUAUAUGCAUGUGUUUAUGUAUGUGUGUAUGUAUGUGUGUUUUGCUGUGUGCUAGGGCCCCCGAUUGGCUUCCAGGGCCUUCGGGUUGUAAAAAGAAAAGAGAACNNNNNNNNNNNNNNNNNNNNNNNNNNNNNNNNNNNNNNNNNNNNNNNNNNGGGGGGGAAGGAGGGGAAGGAGGCAUAUGGUGUGUGUUUUGACGACGAUUCACGGGGGGAUUCAUUAGUAGAAACCUUCAAGGUGGUGGUGGGUUGGUGGUAAGGGGCUAUGGGGUAUAUAUAUAUCCCGCCUGUGCUUGGUGAGUGGGAUUUACGGGUGAGCUGCUGCCAGGUGCGGUGCGGUGUGGUGAGCAGCAGCUACCUGUGUGCGGACCACUGGGGAGAGCUGAGGCCCUCCGUGCGCUAGGAGUGGAGUGGAGUGGGGGCUACAGCUUAGCAGCGCUGCGAUGAGGAGGGGAGGACUGCGGCCUCAGCAGCCCCGGUGGCCAGUGUCAGGCCCGGUCAGAUACUUGUAACCUACACCCCAUACACACACUGUGAGACAUAAAACCCAUUUCCCCCCCUUCUUCUACUGGUUCCCCGCCACCCCCUCCACACACACCUCGCAAAUGCCUACAUAUAUACAUAUAUGCAUACAAUAUACGUACCCACAGCCCUUAGGUCUCGCCGCUCAGUACAUUGUUCGUACAUACAGCCCCCUCGGCCCCCUCAGGGCCCUUGGGCCCCUCGUCAGGGCUCCAGGUAUGUCUGGUAUGGGGCCCCCCUCGUACAUACACCUAUGGAGGUGGUAACGCGGUAACUCCAGAAGGUUUACCACACACACAAUACAUUUAUUUAUUUAUUUAUUUAUUUAUUUAUUUAUACUUAGCCCCUACCCACCCGCAACCACCCUCCCUCCCUGUCCCUCCAGGCGUCGUUCGCUAGCCGCAUGAGUCACUCCUGCACCCCCAACUGUGCGGCGGUGGUGGUCUCAGUCAACGGGCGCCUCACCAUAGCCAUGUACGCCAAAAGGAGAAUCGAACCUGGUAAAAGGGGGGGGGAGGGUAAAAGGGGGGUUUGCGUGUGUAUAUGGUUUUGUGUGUAUGGGGUGGGGAGGUAAAUUCGUGUGUCGGAGGGGGGCGGGGUGGGGGGUGGGGGCCGCGGAACGAGGGAGUAGGUGGGAAGAUGGUAAGGUAGUGUGGCCGCUCUAAGAAUUGUCGACGUCCAGGAAGCAUGCAGUGGUGGUGGUUGGUUGGGGGGGGUGAGCGUCGGGCAAGGCGGGGCGGAGGGCAGUAGGUGUGUGGGGGGUGGGGUGGGGGGGAAAUGGUGAGAAGGGGUGUAGAGUAGAGCCGUUAGGUGGGUGGCUGAGAGUGAAGGUUGUGGGAGAGGGGGCAUGAAGAAAGGGAAGAAAGGGGUUCGCUAUUAAGGCAAACAAAAAACCAUGCAAAAAGCCCCACUGCCCACGGCUCCUUCCCUGUCCCUCCUCCAUUUCAGACCCCUCAAUGAUGAAAACACCACAAAAGUGGGUUUGGGUGGUUCAGGAAGGAAGAUGGGUCUCUGUGAACGCCGACCCUAUGGUCGGUCUUGUUUGCGACGGCGUCGCACCUUCUCAAGCCGCCGAUGCCCUCGUCAACCCUCUCCCCCCCCCCUCCUCCCCCCCCUCCUUCCCCCCCUCCUCCACUCUUGCCCUGGCCUCUUGCCCUGGGAGCAGCUUCACACGUUUGUGGUUUGUCUUUCCCCCCUUCCUCCCCCCGCUCCUCCCCCUCCUCGCAUUACCUUCAACCCCAGGCGAGGAGCUCACCUUCGACUACAGCAGUGUCACGGAGAGCGAGAAGGAGUACCGGGAGGCGAUCUGCCUGUGUGGUAGUAGGAACUGCCGGGGGUCGUACUUGUACUACUCAGGAAGUACGGCAUUCACGCAGGUACGUGGAGGGGGAGGAGGAGGAGAAGAGGAAUAGGUCUGGACUUCGGCGGGAGGUUCGUUUUUUUCGGGGGCGGGAAGAGAGGGGUACACAGCCGCAUGACGAUACGGUCUAAGGGAAUAUAUACGUACACAAUAACCGAGUAAUACCCCGCACAACAACACUUGAACAAAUUUUCUCUCGCCACCUUGCGGGGUUUGCUUUCCCUUCCUGACUGCGCAUGUAUCCCCCUCCCAUACGCGCGUACACAAACACACACAUACACACACGUGCAUAUAUACACACACAUGCAAAUAUACAGCUCCUCCCUCACAAAUGGAUGCACUGCACUGCAAUGCAGCUCCUCCCUCACUCUUCCUGCCUCCUCCCCCCUGUCCUGACGUACCUGUCUGAAUGUCUACCCGUACAGGUCAUGGAGCAGCGCCACAACUUCCUCCACCGCCAGACCAUAUUGCUCCGGGCCUCCACUGAGCCCCUCCUGGAGUCCGACUGGACCCGCCUGAAGAGCCACUCACUGGGGCCCACCAGCCUGGGGGACGGAGGGCCGGGAAACAAUAAGUGAGUCUGUGUGUGUGUGUGUGAGUGUGUGUGAGUGUGUGAGUGUGUGAGUGUGUGUGUAUGUGAGUGUGUGAGUGUGUGAGUGUAUGUGUAUGUGUGUGUAUGUGUGAGUCUGUGUGUGUGUAUGUGAGUGUGUGUGUGAGUGUGUGUGUUGCGUGUAAUCCGGUCCAGGGAACUGGCAGGAGGAUGGCACACGACGAGGUGGGUGUGGGGGUAAAAGGCGAACCACUGGCGAAUGGAGCAGAUACCAAAGAUAGACGGGUAGUCCAGGGGGGGGAGGGAGGGCAAGGGUAAUGGGGGGGAGGGGGGUGUUUGGCCAGAAGACGUGCUUCGCCUUGUCUGGUCGGGCGGGUCUCCCCGCCUCGAGCCCCGACCCACAUCCGGCCCCCCAUCGCACACCCGGCGGUCCUGCGGGUAUUUAUCUCCCGCGCCCGUGUUGUACACGUACACCCCCUCACGGCACUCGCUGUCCGGCGGCCAUUGACCGUCCGGAUCCUUUUUGCCUCAUUUGGUGCGUGUUUAUGUAUAUGCAUGUGUUUAUGUAUGUGUGUAUGUAUGUGUGUUUUGCUGUGUGCUAGGGCCCCCGAUUGGCUGGUCAAGUGGGCCGCCCUGGUGCUGGAGUACGUGGAGCUGGAGAAGCGGGAGCUGCCCCAGGUGCUGCUGCAGCUGCCGCCCCAGCUGGGGAGGUACACGUCGGAAUCGGCGGCCAUUGAGGCGGAGGUGAGUGAGGGGGGGCGUGGGUGUGAGGAGGAGGGGGGGAGGAAGAAGCGAACCACGAGCGAGUGAAGCUGAUGCCAAGGAAAGACUGGUGCGCCAGAAGUAAGGAAGGGGUUUAACUGGACGAGGGCGCAAUAUCCAUUGGCCCAACCUCCUGCACCCCUUCUCCCCUCCUUCAGGCCAUCGCUCAGAACCGUGUCCAGCAGAUUGUCAUCACUCUGGACAAGGUAAAGCAAGUACUGCGGCAGCCGGGGCAGCUGCAGGUGAGCAGGAGGAGAGAUAACGGGGGGGGGGUAGGGUGGAGAGGGGUGGAGAGGGGUUCAGGGGUUAGAACAAAACACACGUGACCCAAACACGGGGGAGGAGGAGAAAGGGGGGCCCCAUCACUCCCACCAUCAGACCCCACCCCCUGCCGUAUACCUGCCGUAAGGACGGUUUUAUUCCCCUCUCCCCCUCUCCCCCUUCCCCCUCCCCUCCAAACACGGUGUUUCAGACGGCGCCCAUGCGGCUGUUGUCCGAGUCCGAGGUGGUGGCUCACCUUUGGUCGGGAAGCAACUCCAUUGCCAAGAGGGUCCUUAAGGUGGGUUGGGUUGGGCAGGUGAGCAGGUGGGCAGGUGGGGAGGUGGAACGGGGAAGAUAAGGAGGGGUGAAAAAAGGCAGCGAAAAAAGGGGGGAAGAGGAUAAGGAGAGAGGACUGGAGGGUGAGGGGUUAAAGGAGAGUGUGCGGUUUAUUUUCAUGUGUAUGGGUGUGUCUCCUAUCGCGCGAUACUCUCUCCCUCUCUAGCCCCCCUUCAUGUGUGUGUGUGUUCACAUCCUCGGGCUUUGCGUGCCCCUCUUGCACUCGCCCCUACGGUGCCCUUCACAAGGCCGCACCCGCCCUUAGCCCCGGCCUCGUAGCCAGCACGUCGACCUAUCCUUAGUCCAAAUCUUGACGUCCAAUUUUGAAGCCCAAUCGGUAGUGCUGAGAAAAGCUACUGCCGGGAAACGUAUCUUUGCAGAGCGCCGCGCCGCUUCUCUGCGCUAGCAAGGCCGUCAUGCAAAAGCUGUACGGCCUGUGGACACCUGCCGGAGCCGCCGCUGCGGGCCCUAGCGGUCCCACCACUCGCGGCGGUGGCGGCGGCGGCGGCGGCGGGCAUGAGAGCGGCGAGGACGAUACAUCGCCUCAGCCGGUACGUCGCGGCCGUGGCGGCGGCGGCGGUGGCGGCGGCGGUGGCGGCGGAGGUUUUAGCCUGGGUGACGACGAGGAGGCGCGGUUGGCUGCUGUGCUGCCGGACCGUCUGUCGGAGUUCGCUGCGGGUCCUGAUGCGGCUCGGGAACCCAAGUUGGCGGCGGUGACUAGGCUGGUGGCGCAGAAGGUGCCGCCGUGUGUGGGUGUGGGUGAGGGGGCGGGGUCACAUACAUAGUUACAUACAUGCAUGCAUGCAUUUUUCUUUUUCCCUUGCAGUCCCCUGCUUGGUAAGGUGGUCCUUUGCCGCGUGGUCCGGUAUCUCAACCCCAUGCCGCCAUCCCCCCAGCUGGCAUCAUGGCAUGAUGCCAGUGGCAUGAUGCCAGUGGCAUGAUGCCAGUGGCAUGCUCUCCUCCCCUUUUUCCCAUGUCUGAGCGGCUUCUCCUGCCCAGAUGCCAUCUGUGCAGGUCGUUACAUGUACGCAUAUGCACCGCGUAUGUAUGUGCGUGUGUAUGUGCGUGUGUGUUUUGCUUCUUCCCCGCUAGGUCAGCACGGCGGAUCAGGCCCGGGAGAAGAUCCUGGAACUGGAGAAGUUGCUCCGAAGCCAGGAUGUGCAGGAUGGAGCGCCACAUCACACGGCGGUGGCUGAUAUGCUGCACAUGUACGGCAAGACCUUGACGUGGUUUACGGCAGAGCGUGGCUACAAAGGUGAGCCAUGUACUUGGAGGUCACGGUCAUGGUUUGUAGAGUUACAGGGCUUUUCACCGGGAAAAAAGGACAUCAUCAUAAUUUUUUACAACAUGCUUACGCUGGUUGUGCAAGAUUUCUUUUGUGUUGUUCGUCUGGCUUUGUGGUGGAGGGUUGAGAACGUUUGUUUGCUGUCUGUUGCUGCUGCUAAAGCUAUGGCUAUUUGUACGGCUGCGUGUACGGCAACUGCUGCAGGCUUUGCCUCUCCGCCCAUUGAGCUGCAUGAGGAGAUGGUGAAGUUGCACCGAGUCAAACUGGCGGCGGCGGGCCGUGGUGCCGGCGGCGGCGGCGGCGGUGGUCGCGGACGCCGGGUCGGCGGCGGCCGCGGCGGGGGUCGACGCAGCAGCGGCGGCGGCGGCGGUGAGUCCUCGCCGGUGUACGGCCCUGCGGGUUGCGGCAGCUCGGACGAGGAGGAGGACGAGCCGGAGACGGACUCGGACGAUUCGGAUCGUGGGGGAAAAAGCGGUGGCAAGGCUCGCGGUGGCCGAGGCGGCGGCGGCGGCAAGGGCGGGCGCGGGGCAGGACGCGGCAGUGGACGCCGUUCCACCGCCACGGCUACACGAGGCGCUGCCGUGGCCGCCACCGGUGCCGGCGGCGGUGGUGACGACGGCGCCGGCUCGCCGUCGCCUCCGAUUCCGCCGGACGCGGAGCCCGGCGCCGCUGAGCCCGACGCGGCCGCCGCCACCGCUGCGGCGGCACCGGUUCGUCGCUCCGGCGGCUCCGUUCGCCUGGCGGACCCGUCCGUGUUGUCGAAGCGCUACGGGCCCUGGUUCAUGUGGGGUCAACUGUCCGGGUGGUACAAACAGACGGUGUACGACCCGACGGCGUCGCUGUCUGCGGAGCGGCGGGGUACCCUGUCGCUACCUGACGUGGAGAGCUGCUACGGGGCUCGUGCCAAGUACACGUUCAAGGUACCUGGGAAGCGUUGCGGAUCGUUGGGUCCUUGUUUUUUGUUGGGGGAAAAGGGAAUCAGGCGCUGCUGCUGCUGCUGCUGCUGCUGCUGCUGAUGAUGAUGAUGAUGAUGGUGCCGCUUGCAGUUGACCUAAUGGGAUCUAUCAUAUUUUUAUUUCCUGCUAUAUACUCACACACCAAUAACCCCAUUGCUGAUGCUGAUGCCAACAGUCAUUGAUAAAGAAAGCCAACUGCCUACGUUCAAAAGCACCACCAGUUUUCGGAGUUCGUUUUGCCGGGGGGGAGUGGGCGGGUGAUCCCGAUGGGGGAGGAUGGGGAGGGAAGCGGCUCGGGAAAGUGGGGAACGGGGCAGGCAUUUAUGUGUGUAGGUAUAUAUGUAUGUAUGUGUGUGUAUGUGUGUGUUUGCUUAACCUCCGCGGGAUAACACCUCACCCCAGACCCGGCACCAGUUACACUGCCUACCAGUUAGGCUGAUGCCGGCCCCUUACCCCCCGCCUUUAUGUCUGUCUGUCUGUCUGUCUGUCUGUCUGUCUGUCUGCCUGCCUAGGACCGUGCUGCCGUGCUGCGCCACCUGGAGCAGUGUCCAGAUGCCCAGUGGAAGACCUCGCUGCCAUUUGGGUUUCGUAACGACGCCAAGAUUUACGGCAGCCCCAUGUUCGACCAGGUAACAUGUUCAAAUGUCUGUGCGUCUGUGCGCGCGUGUAUGUGUGUGGGUGUGGGUGCUUUUUGGGGCCCCGGGCGCGUGGGAAAAGGGAGGAAUGAGGAACUGGAGAGGCAGCUUUCUGUUGUUUCACCUAUUCAAUGUAGGGUGGGGGGUUGAUGAGAGGGUGGGGGAGGGGCUUCACAGGAUUCCCUGCUGCUUAGGGAUUUAUGAAGGAGAGGAGAAAACAACAGCUUCGGGGAGGAGAUUCGGAACCCCAACGUUUACCGAUAAUACGCCAGGCAUGGGGUCCUCGGCCGGGGGAGGAGGUAAGAUGGAGGUGCUCUUGGCCCGCCUGCCACCUUUUUACUAAACCUACUGCUCUUCCCAUUUUGCUGCUCUGCCUUUUCGACCGUCGACUGCUUCCCAUUUGACUGCCUAUUUGUCAGUGUUCCAUUGCGGAUGAGAACCCGCACCCACACCCGUCCGUCCCUCGCCCUGCUCACCACCCCGGCUCCCCCGGUCCUCGAAUCCUCGAAGGUGUAUUUGGAGGCCAUUGGCAGGUCGGACCUGAACCCCAUGCCGGGUGUGCUGGCCCACCUUAAGGCCGUCAAAACACCCCUCAACCCAUCCAAGGCGGGACGAUGACACAUCCACAGCAAAACACAUCCUCGGAGGGGGGGGAGAAGGAGGGGGAAAAAGGGGGGAAAAAGGGCAUGAAACCCGAGAAAGCCCGAAGUCCCGCCAGGGAGGAAGGCGAUUGGUGAAGCACCCUUGGGGGAGAAGGGCGAGGGGGGGGGGAAAGGGAGAGUAGGGUGCGAGGCAGGGCAAUGGUAUGUAGCACGAGCAGCAAAGAGACACACGUCCAAAGCCGCGAGCUGUGACCCUAGGAGUGAGGGAAGGAUGGGAGGGGGGGCGGGGGAGCGGAGGGCGGAGAGGCGGGUCCUGCCGGGGGCGACGCAGGGGCCUCCUACCCCCUUCAUGUCGGGCGGGGGGGGGCGGUAGCGCAUGCUGCAUUUGGUGGCCGUUGGACAUCACCAACACAACCACGCGGCGGCAGCGGCGGCGGCGGCGGCGACGCUUUUCGUAUUUUUCGCCUUCCUUGCGCAAGUCAUAUGGCAAUGCCGUUGUAUUUCCAUGGCAAUGUUUGCUCCUUUCUUUUUUUAACUAUUUUCGGGGUCGCAGAAUCGAAAUUUGUUCAAGUGCUGGCCCAAUUACCAGAUCUUAAGUAGAAAACUAGAAAUGUAGACGGGAGGAGAAGGGACAGCGCACUUGUCGCAAGUGUGUGGUUGCGAAUAAUGAUUUGGUGUCCCGAUAGUGUGUGGGUUGUCAGGAAAGGUAUACACCAUUGGAGAACAGCACGGGGGGUGUUGUUCCCAUGAGGUCCAAAUCGGCGAGCGACAGAACUGUGUUUUUUGUUUUAAAACUAAAGGGAACGCGGGAAUGUAGAUGAGUGGUUGCGCGGGUAAGUCGGCCGCCGGUGUUCGUGCUGGCGCUGCGGGCGGUGACGGUGGUCUGCUGCUGCUGGUGCUGCUGCUGCGGUGGGUCGGAUGUAUACGUUUUUUUCGUGAACUGCGGACAGGAUACGGGGAAGGGAGGGGGGCGAAUGCGAGAACGAGGACGGGUAGGAAAGGAGCGAGGAGCAGGUGAUGGUGUCGGUAGGUAAAGGGAACGCGGGAAAGGAAGAAAAGAGGAAACACAGGACGCGCGAUCGCAUACGCAUAUCUCGCGCGGCUAUACACACAUAUGCGCUCUGUGGUUUUUCCAUCGUCGUCCUGGAUGUGGAGGGUUAUGACGGAGGAUGGUGACGGUUGCGUCGCUGGCGGUUCUCGCGGUGUACGGUGUCGUAUAGUUGGUCUGGAGUCAUUCCGAAAAGUCGAAAAGCCCUUGGAGGGCGCUACGGGCUUGUCGAGGUGGUGCGAAGCUCAGUUCUGUAGGUCCUACCAAAGCAGACUUAUGCAGCCUGGGACAGAACGUAAGAGGCUUCGAUAUGAGUGGCAGGCGACGACGUGAACUGAAAACUGGGGGUGGGGUGUCGGCGAAUAUGGGACAUGGGUCCUGAGAUUUAGGUUAUGCGAAGGAAGGUUUGGGUAGAAAGACCGUGGAUUUGCAAGGAUUCCCUAGGGGUUAUGGUGCUGGGCGCAGCAUUAUCUGCGUUUUUGGGGUGAGGCUUGAAGGUAGUCGUUCAGAGGACAUGACACCCUUGUCAUUCCCUUUAGGGGAUGAUGAUGACAAGCCGUUAGGGUAAGGGGGUCAGCACACUGAGCAAGGUCAGGGUAGAGUGACCUGGGGAGGGCGAGUCAUUCCUUAAUUGUAGUUUCACCUAUCCUUCCGUGGGUAGAAUUUACCGAAUGGCGAGAAUUUCCAGACGUGGUCGCUGUGGCCAAGGUUUGCGAUGCGGCCUGUGCAGUACUUGCUCCGUGGCGGCAUGGUGACCAGCUACAGCUUUUAUGUGUAUGUUGGUGAGAAUUGUGAAGGAACUUAUGCUUAUGGAGAAGAACAUAACAUGGGAGAAAGGGUGGCGACGUGUGGGGAUUUGGAAGUCCGCCGACGAGGCUAUGUUUCCGUCAACCUAGAGUUCCGUCAAAAAAAUCUUUCUCUAUUUUACUCUAGCGUUGCAUAUUAAGUGGAAUGGCAAGGGUAACAAGAUUACAGCGUUUGCUGUAAUCAAGCUCGGCAAUUAACGUAGCGAGUUAUGAAGAUAGUUGUUGUAUUUGAUACUUAUCGACUUGUAUAGGAAGGUUAUACAUAAUUCUUAGGCAUACCGUUGGUACGGAUGACCGUUGGCCCAGUGAGCCAAGGGCUGCCGCUCAGCACGUUGAAGUUUCUCCGAGACCGUACGGCAGAUUGUCACUACAUAUUCAGCAAGUAACCAGAAAAUACCUCUCCCAAAUUGAACAAGUUGUCCCUGCCGCCACCUUAGCAAGUAUCAGCCUGCAUAGUCUUGGGUGCAAGGGAAGGUUGACAUAUCUCUCGCACCGUGUUGCUGAUGUGAGGUAUCCCUUCGUACUUGCAGGGGCUUGCUGGAGGCGAUCCUUUGGGUGCCUGGAAAGCGCUUAGUCGAUGGGAGAGGUAGAGGGCUAAAGAGAGCUUGUUGCGAGGAGCUGGCGCCUUUGUGCCGUGCCGUGCUGAUGCGGCCAUAUAGUAUGCGUCUAAAUGCCACCAGUCUCAACGCUUGAGAAUUGAGGGUCCUCGGCAGAGAGGAUGACAAGCUGUUGAGAUAGAUCCUGAGGGCCACGGAAUGCUCGUGAGAAAGAUGGCAGGAUUUAUAAUAUGGUUGUGGGAGCGAUGAUUGGAAGAACCCAGUUGCCGGCCUUGGCGGCUGGCAUGGACCUGUUCGAAAGCCCCGUGGCUUGAGCAACGUCGGGAGCCUGCCAUAAUGUGGUAAGAUUCUGGCAUUCUUUAUUUAAUUAUCUUUCCUGUUGUUUACAAAGUCAAUUCUAUUUCGCAGUUCGGCUCUCACGUCGCUCCGCUCUCGUCAUGAGACGUGAGUUCAGAGCUGCGCGGCUGUUAUGGUUCACAAUAAUGCAGCCAUACGCUGGCAAGGGGUCUCCCAGAUUUCCCAUGAAAGACCUUGCCGGACGUCUCUAUGACCAGGUGAGGCAACAACCCUUGUUGUUACAGGCGUUAUGCACAUAGCUUGCUUUUGCGUGAUAAAUUAUGUUCACGAUCACUAAUCCAGGAGACAUGUGUGGAUGUUACAGUGUACAUGACCGUGGCUAAGGUGUCUACUCCUGACCCAACCCAAUUUUGUUGUCCACGCGCAAAUUUCCGCAGACGGUCAACGAGCAUAUGAUGUGGAUUUAGACGGCGGCGUUGCGCAGCCCAACUUGCUUGGCCUCUACCUACUUUAGCUCAUCGGUGAGAACGAUUACGCGUGAUUCGGUCUGGGUACGGAGGUCUCGAGACGCAAGUCAGGUCCGAACCAUGCGCGUUGAGCCCCUUGGGUAGAGAACCACUAGAGAACAUUUGCUAAAAACGGCAGUUGCUCUAUGCGCAGGUCAUGCAUGUCCACCUAUCUGCUCCCUUUCCUGUCUAUGGCUCGUCCAAUAUAUGUAUCUGCCUCACUUUGCAGGUCCCCUUCUUACUCUCCAUCUCUGUGCAGCUCCUUAGCCGUCCUGUCCGCUCCUGCCUUUUUCGUUCCCUUCAGGUCUGCUCGCGAGUAUGGCAAGUUGCUUGUGUUUGGCGUGUAUUGUUGAGGGCUCGACGGAGCUGCAGCCUCCACGACGUACCCAAGAGUUGUCGGGGACUGAGGCGCAGAGCUUGGAGAGAGCACUUACUGCUAUCGGCCGACCCUCCAGCCUGAUUUAAGACUGUCGACCAUCGCGUUUAUCUGCCUUACCUGACGGAGCCUGCAAGCUAUCUUAGGAUAGGUUGUGGGGUGAUCGGGCGAUGGAAUUAAGUAAAGGUUGCUGGUGAUGUGGUGUCGUAGCAAGGGAAUGAAUUUAUGUGCGCUGGGGAGCCGUCCCGUUGUGAGGAGCUUCACCGUUAGCGACACUCGGCCGGAGGGUGGUACCCCCGGAUGUAUGUAUGUACGUAUGUAUGUGGUCUGUGGACGCACCUCGGAAGGGCGUCACGGACAUCCUCGGUCUGUGGGUUAUUAUCCCACCGGAUCCAUUUGUUUGGAGUGUGGGCAGUGCCGUGUUUGGUGCCCCAGAUAUCCCAAUAUCCUGGUCUGUGGCCGGUCCCUUAUGUUCAGGGUUCAUCUGGUGUACCAGUGCCUGCCUGGAUCUGUGUUUUUAAGCAUGGCCAGGAAUCCAAUUCCUGCGGGCCCCUCCUGAAUGCGGGUUACGAGCGUGUAGGCUUGCUGCUAGGCUAUGGGGGCUAUGAGAAGCAUUCAGCCCCUUCUGCAUGCGUUCCUGGACAGCUUGAGACUGCUUCUGCACUAGGUUCCGUCGUGGCGCUAUCCACUGAGGCAUAAUGGCAAAAUUAAACACGCUGGCGCUUGGAUUCGAAAUACGCACAGUGCACAUGAGCGUCUCGUGCCGGUGUGGGGGAUAAAAAAGCAGCUGCAUUCCGGAUUUAACCUAUAUCCUUUGUUGUGGGGUCGGUUGUGCGGCGCUUCUGUUGCAUGUCUUGUCCCCGCCAGUUGGCGUCCGCAGUUGGCUGUCGCUACCAGGUGGGUCUAUGGACAGUCCGCUUUACCCGCUUGCCUGCCAAUUAACUUUUGCUCUGUUUUGUCCACCAAGCCGAACUAUGUGACGCGCCUUUUUGGAUUGCUGCUGGUGGAAUGCCGGUGUAUAGAAAGGGUUGAUGCUGUCGAGGAUUUUACCCCGGGUUUCUGUUUGCCUGCUUUCCUGAAAUCCUGGCGCUGGCCAUGUUGGCUCGGCUGCUUUUGGAUGAUUUUAUGUCCUGCGAGUUCCUCCGUGUCGCUGUGUGCCGUUGUCGGUCACUGCGUGUGUUAGAGGUGCCGCCUCCUUUUGAAGGUGAUAAUGAAGGUUUGCGGGUUUUACCGUCCCCUGAAUCGCAAAUAGUCUUUUUAUGCGAAUGUGUUUGAGCCUAUAGGGCUUCUCGCAUUUCGGACGAGUCGCUUAUGCGCCGUCACACCGAAAGAGGGCCCCCUUCCUGUUGUCGAUAAUCGAUGACGUUGGGGUCCAGAAUGAAUUUCCUGAGGCUUCAGCCAACCCGACGCCUAGUGGCUGUCGGGGAUGUGCUGAGUCAUACCGAAUGCCUCUCCGCCGGCAUGUGUUUGUACUUCCGCCCGAUUGUCGAUGGGGUCCUGUGUCGGAUUGUCGGGUCUUGUGAGCUCUGGAACAUUCCUCGUCACAUGCGUCUCGCUUGAUCUUUUGAUGGCAACGGCGCUAUGUUCAUAGUUCAGGUUCCACUUGCCGCCGCCGCCGCCGCCGCCGCCACCACCGUCUUUGUCGCGUCCCCUGUCAUGUACACACGGAAGGCGUAGGUUGUUGUGAGAGGAGGGGCUGAUGCUGCUGUCGUCUCCUCCGCCGUCGAGUCCACCUGGCAUGCAAUCGUGCGGCUGUGGCCCCAGGCCGCCGUUGCUACAGGAUCCGCGGUGGCGAUGCUCUUCAUGGCAGUAAGUCCCUCCUGCCCAGCUUACUAUUCGAGCUGCCGUUCACUGGUGGAUGCACAUGGCGACGUCUGCGUGGCCUGGUGGCUGCUGCGGCGGCGUUGUUUGGAAUCUUUCAUACGUCUACUUUCCGAGAGCUUACCAAGAUUUGACACGAGUACCAGGUGGGCCUGCUUGCUUUCGGGUUGCUUUGGAUUGGGGGAUGGACAGGGCAAGGAACCGAUUUGGCAAUUGACAUGACUGGGUCGGCCAAGAUUGCUGAGGUGUUACUGUGUUCUGUUCUGUCCGGGAAAAGUAUUACGCGUCCAUCCCUUUGGUUCCCCCCUAGCAGCAAUUGCCUUGCGCAUCGGGGUCUUCUGGGCUUCGCUCGCAGGACAACAAACACUUCAGAUGAUGUCCCCUCUUUGUAUGUAUGUAUGUGCUCUUCUUGCUGCGUGCGUCCAACAUCCCUCCCUGUCCUGUCACGCACAUACACAUGUCCCUCAGGAUGAUGGGCCUUUGCCGUGCUUCUGAUUUCCUCGUGCGGCGAGGGCCCUGAUACGUCGUCUGAAGACUGCAGUUUUCCUUGAUAAUCACGUCCACAGUGGCUUGUCACCGGCCGAGGCCAGUGAGAGCCCGGUCCGGGGUAUUGGCCACGGUCAGCGGUGUGUCGCAACUCAGUUGCGUCCGCCGCUGUGUUCUUGCCGUCUGAGCCCGGCCAGCCUCACCGCAAAUGGCGGUGUUUGGGCAUUGAUUGGUUUGAGGGCGAGUGCUAUGUAUCUCGAAAUGCGAGGACCUGCUCGGAGAGUCACCUGAUGCUGCUCGGCUUCAUUGAAGAGCGGCUAGGGUGGGUAGAUACUGAGAGUGUGCGGGGGGGGGUUUGGCAAGAGGGCGCCUGGGUUGCGCCGGGUCAGGGAUCUUAGGGUUUGUAGCAUGGGUGGGCGUUCUAAGUAUGAUUGGGCAUGAGAGUGGAUAGUGGUUCGGGGGUCACAGGGUAAGAUGUAGGCAUGGGCUGAAACGUAAAUGUGACGACUAGACAGGGGAUCUUGUGUGCAAAGACCGCAGCAGGGAUAAUGGUUGCAAGGGUGGCGGCAGCGGCAGUCCAGUGAUGAUCAGCCAAGUAGCAAUGCUUGGUCUGAACAGAGGUUUUUGAGCAGCUAGUUACUAGAGCGCUCCACAGCAUCCGCUGAUUGCGUCAGGUAAGCUCAACAGUAAGUUUGGCCUGGAUAGGCUGUUAAUGUUGUCCAGCUGAAGACGGCAGCUGUCGCCUGGAGGUAAGCUUUUGCACGUUGCAAUUCUUGUCGCCGUGCUAACAACGUUUCUAAACCGCAGGGGGGAUUAGUCUGUGCGCGUUUGGUUGCACAAAAUGAAAUAGGUGGACAUUGGGAUGUUGGUCUAACAUAUGCUGCGGGGAGCAGCUGGUAGAAGUGCUCCUGGGCUUCUGGUAGAAGUGACGGUGGAGGCGGCGGGCGGUCAAAUGUAUCCGUUUGAUAGCCCAGCCCAGAUAAAUAUGAUAAAUGUAAGACUUAAGUACUUUGCCAUUCGAACAUUUUCCCCACCGCUCUAGUGUCCUCUCGACAACAGCCACAUUGGUCACUAGGUAAGACAUAUCUCAGUUUACACUGAUAGUGAACGUUUGUCACACAGUUCGUUUAGGGAAACAACUACAGGGUGUCAGAAUGUGCGAGAAUGUCGGUAUCGAUUCAGGAAAUACAUAGUGCAGUCUGUCGUUUGGAUGUCGCCAAGGCCAAAGGGCCAUGAGGCUCUGGCGAAAGGAUGUCAGGGAGACAUGUCGAGUGAGGUCGGAGUAAUACAUACUAAUGGAACGUACAUAUGCUUGCGGCUCGGUGUUGGUGUCGAUGUCCACCCGCCGUCGAUGUGCACCAUUGCGUACUUCAUCAUUCACAUGAUGAUAACCUCGAUGUUUGUUGAGAUGGAAAGAUCGGCGCUGUCCAUAGAAAAAUAGCUCCUUGAUUAUCUCUUCUUGAUUAUCUCUUCUCUUCUAAAUUAUUAAAAAGAAUUCAAGCUUUUGGCUGUUGAAGGAUUUAGUAAUUAAGAAAAGUUGACAACUACAGCAAGAUAGCGGUACAAAUUUGUGCUGAUAUUUUAGAAGAGGCUUUUAAAUAAAAAAUUAGCUUACUCAUUCAUAUAUCUCACGUAACCUAAAUACGCCAUUCACGUCGAUUACGGCUUUUGCCUGUAGCUUACCGGCUUAUGUAAUAAUCUGUGUCCGUUAUAAUGUGGUGUAUACAUGACUACCUUGGACGAGCCAGCACCCUACUGUUUUUCUUAUUUCUUACACAGUAUUCUAAAGAAGACCGCCGAUGUGCCCUUGGGUGGGGCACUGGCGGCGUAAGGCGCUCAACUGGGGGUCGAUUACAUGUUCCUAGAGUGCAAUCAUGAUUGGCCGGCGGCUGGCAGCAGAAACAGCAGCAACAACAAGCUUACGAAGAACGGCCCAGAUAAAAAUAAUUAUUUCAGCCACGUGAUAUUGCUCCACCGUACGGGUUACAUGUACACAAGCCAUGUUCACCUGACUGUUGUACGGCGGAUGAUGUGUUGUUGUAGGUAUACAGGAAUUCACGGCAGUGACACCUGGUUUGACCCCCUCCGGGCUUCAUGCGGUGGGUUCGAGCCCCACAGAAAUCCAUUCAUGCCACGCGGCGGUAACCACCCGCGGUGUGACGGAGGUUCGUACACUGUGACGACCACAGCGACCGGGGAAUUUCCGAAUGGAGCUUUCCUAACCAAUACAAGUCGAAAAUCAGUUGUUAGUUAAUCCCUGUCCACCAGCGCAGAGCAGUUAUACCCAGACAAUGUUGUGUCAUACCAGCACUAUGCAGUAGCACAACCGCAAUGCAGUCGUACACGCUCCGUGCAGUCGUACGGCGGCGCAACAGAAUAAGAAAGAGGCACACUCGUUUUUCUCCCUCCGUAUGCAGGGCUCGUCCUUUCCAUGCCACCCAUCCACCCAUCCAUCCUGUCAACCAGCCGACGACGAAUAACAGAGACUGUCAAUAGGCACGCGUUCAGGUCUAGCAACCGAAAACGCCCCCAGGACCGAUCCCCAUCCUAGGACCGCAUCCUUGCUGUCGUUUCGACAAAGCAGACACAUCGGUCAGCGGAACGAUAACACGGAAGCACAACGUCAUCAGUGUUCAAUAUCAUUCCGCUGCUCACAAGUGCAGCUCUUUCAGAUUUGAUAUCGCUACACACACACACACACACACAUAAUUGCAAUCUCCUCCUACGUCUCAAUUACACCACCAAACAAAUCACUUCACUUCACUGCAACUAUAAUACUGCUGCUGCUGCUCUCCCUGCUAUAGCUAUACAAGUUGUUACAAGUUCCGCACGAAUGCAAGGUUGUCCGUCAACGCCAGGGGGCCCAAAAACAAAGCAAUGGCUAUAACACAGCUAUAACACCACACCACUUUUCCUACUGCUGUUGCUGCCUCGCCGUCUGGUGCUUCUGCUGCUUCUCCAGCGCCUCCGUCUCCUUCUGAAUGGCCCUUAGUCUCCCCAACAGCUGGGCCUUACCUUGGUUUGGGGGCUGCCGCUCCACAUCCGCAGCCAUACGGCCCAGAGCGGAAGCGAACCAGCGAUCAUUCAUGGACAACGUGCUCAGCAGGUCCGACCCGCCCGAGAUGUACAGCUGUAUGCACGUGCAUACAUGUACAUGCAUACAUACAUACGUACAUACAUAGGAAGGGUGACAUGGAGCGAUGUUGGGAAGGAUGGGUGGACGGCUGGACAGUGGUAAGUGAGGGGGCACAUGUGAGUCACAGGUAGGUGAAAGGAGAGACAUACAGUAAGAAAGUUACGACAAGCUUGCUUUACCAGAACAUGAAUCAACCACCCCACAAGUACGACUAGGAGUAUGAAUGCGAGUAUGCGUGUGGAUAGAAGUAACAAACAUGAACCCCUGAACACAACAUACAAAGCGCAAACAUGCAAACACACAAACAUCCAGUUCCACACCCACACCCACACCCACACCACACCUGCUUCCUCUCCGCCUCAGUUUCCGCGCGGAUGAGGUCGUUCAGGAGCUGCAGUUCCGGUCUCAGGCUCGAUUGCUUCACCUUCCACGCGGCUGUGAGGGCUCGCUCCAAGCGGUCGGCCACGUCAGCAUUGCCGUCCUUGCGCGCCUGCAGUGGUGGUGAGUCGGAUAGCGGUUGGGGGAGGAGGAGGUAGAUGAGACGUGAGAGGAGGUAGGAUGAGACAUCUUGCGGUGGUGCAGAAUAUUAAGGAUAUAUACGGAGGAGGAGGAGGAGGCAGGUAAACAAGGAACGGCGCUGAGAGAGCGGCCACCGAUGAGGUUGCCCCCUCAUCACCCUCGGAUAUGAUUAUGAUUACUGGAUGGGGCCCAAACCGGGAUCCAAAGAAAGGAAUGUUUUUCCACGUUUUUGGAGUGGUCUGUUUUUGGUCGUUUCGAAGCUGUUUUGUUGUUUGACAAAAGUUUGGCUUCAGUGCAUUUGGUGGUUUAUGGAUAUGGUGUUGACAAUAUGAAGGGUGGGGCAGCACCGGCGUUAGGGGAUAUGCCAGGGGGGGACGUGCUAGGGGUUUCAUAGAGGACAUGCCAGCAAGCGGCGACCAGCACCCGGGGGAGCUCCCCUCUGGCAAUGCAGUAAGUAGCUUUUCCGUUUGCAAGCGGCGAGCGAGGGAGAGACACGGAGAGAGAGAGAGCAGGAGAGAGAGAGCAGGAGAGAGAGAGAGGGGGAGAGAAAGGGAGAGAAAGGGAGGGGGGAGGUAGAGAGAGAGAGAGAGAGAGGGGGGGGGCCCGGAUAAUGCCCCGCUGCUGCUGCUGCAGAGGGGAGCCUUCAACAUACAUACUUUUGUCCUUACACAUAUACACAUCAUUGGAAUCGGGAUUGCAUCACGCACGAGGAAGAAGCGCAAAUUGCGAGUGCAGGCGGGGGGAAAGCCAUCGAGAAUUCAAAAAUGGAAGGGGAAUGUCCUGGAGGGAGGGAGGGAGGGAGGGACCGGUGGCCAAGAGCUCCCGUGGAGAGCUCUUGAUGCAUAGAGGUACGGCUUGGGAUUGGGUAGAUCUUGUUGCGAAUGCUCGCCGUGUCCGGAGCCCCCAGGAGGGCACCCCUAUACCACUGCGCUCUCGCCUCUCCAACCCCCUUGACCCUGCGUUGCCCCCUUCCUCUUCCCCCUUUCGCUCCGCGGGAACAAGAGAACUGAGGCCGCCCGUAGCUUCCCUCUAGCACCCCUUUCCUCUGCCCGCCCGAUAUGCCAUCCGAUCAACCACCUAGCCAUUUGGCAUCAAAUAGUGGAUCAAUACCUCCAACCGCAAACCCCACUAGCUAAAUCUCUGUGCACCUAUCGUAAAUGGCAGGAAUGUAUGGAUGCUAUUGGCGCUCUUUUAGCUGAUAUCCCAGCGAAUUGGAGACAGGCGGCUAGUCUUUUGUUGCCGCUGAGUGUAAAAUCUAGGGAAGCGAUGGUGCCCUCCAUCGAGUCGGUUACCCAAACCCUAGUGUCGAGGCUUGGUUGGAGAUGGGGUGUAGGGCCUCCAAUCAGAUUCCAACAUUUAUCCGCUAAAAUAGCGACUAAUAUGCAACUUUCACCUUUUUCGAUGGCUCGCCGUGUGGCCCAUACCCUCUUCAUCAAAGAGGCGACGGGCUCUUCUGAGAUAUUGGAUGAAGCUAUUCUUCUUUUGCAACGGACAUUCCAUCGUUUAUGGUUUCAUUUACGGUGGGAAAAUUAACAAAAAGAGGUUUGGUGGCGUCUCGCGGUUGAUGGGGUGCCUAUGUUAGGAAAUUCCCAUCUUAGGAUGUCGCGGCCAACAAUAUGUGGUUAUCCAGUAGAUUCAGUGGGAGGUGUAUCCCCUCGCUGUCAUCAUUUCUGGGCCUGUCCGGUGGCACAGGCAGUAGCAGAUCAACUUACUCUUUCAAUAGGAUUGCCAGUCUCAAGGGAGCAACUUUGGCUUGUCCAAGCCCCACAAUCAGUGCAACAAUGUGUUUGGGAUGUUGUGGCUCUUGCUGCGAUGUCAGCCAUGGAGCAUGGGAGACGUUAUAUGGCUGCAAACAUGAAAACCAACCCGGCACUGUUACCUGGCCCUUCCCUUACGGAAGAAGCCAUUUGUCAAGUUAUUGUUGACUUUUGGGGCCGCAUUCAGGGUUUCGCAGCUUUGGGAAUUCCACGGAAAGGUUGGGAUUCUGUUGGCGCACAUCACCCCUUCUUGAGAAUUAUAUCAGGCAAAUUGCUGUGCUCACGGGAGCGGUUACCGAUGAGCGGUUAAUUAUCUGAGGUGAUGGUCUCUAUUGGUAUAUUAGUCUCUACUGCAGUGCACGGCCAGCUGGCCCGAUGGCUCUACUCUUCGGGAGUCUGGAGCCCACUGUAACCACACCACACCACCUAGCCAAAGCCGGCCCCCGCCCGCCCGCCCGCCCGCCCUACCAGGGUGAGGUAGGCUGAGCCGGUCAUGAAGAAGUCCUCGUUUAGUCCCUCUAAGCUUUGACGGGCGACUCCGGUGGGGUCGGACGAUUCGAGCAGGCGGGCCAACAGGGCGGUGGAGCGCUGCUGGGAGAUGCGCGCCCCAUCCAGUCGGGAAAAUUGUGCAUCAGUUUUUGCAUCUUGUGGAGGUGGAGAGGACUUGGACGCGGCGCAGAUGGGAAUGGAGAUGGAGGUGGUGAUGGGCGUAAAGAAGGUAUGGCGGCUGCGGAGGAGUGCGGCACGUUGAUUGUUAUUGAUCCUUCUGUUGUUGCCGAGCCGCAUCACGUCAGGUGCCCCUGCAUGGGGAAGGAUGCAAGGACGACAUUUGGUUUCGUUCCGUUCAGUUGUCUGAACAGUAAAAAUAUUUCGGAAAGACAUAUUGCAUGCAAAAUUUAUUCCUAUAAAGAGCAUCAAAUAGAGUACCAAAGGGCGGACAAUGCCAAUUCACCAGAGUUGCAUGAACGUUGACACACCGGGACGCAAUUUUGCCGACUGUAGCGGCUCGACAUAGCAUCGCCUCAGCAGCAUCGCUAACGUCCUCUAGAAAUUUUGGGAUUUUAUGUGCCAAUCAUAGGGUAGACUGCCUAAAAGCUGUCAGCCAGCAUGAACGAACCGGAGUACGACACGUAUUGCCUCUUUUGUGACGGGAAUCACAUUGUUCUACAAACCCUAUUGCUCCUUCUAAUCCGCAAGCCAAAUACCGGAAGCAGUAUUGGUUAUGAAACGAUGUGUUCUUGACUAACAACAUGGAUACUGACCUCGAAAGAUACGACCGGUAUGCUGCCAGUGGACAGAGUGGAGUUUGUAACAGUGGCCAACUGGGGUUUGCCGCACUACAUCUAUCUGAGCGGGCUUGCUCCAAUGGACCUGACUGGACUGCUCUGCCGGAGGGAGUUUUCCUUUAUAUCAGUCGUUUCCUGGAUCCUCACACAAUCAGCAAUGCUCGAGCGGUUUGCAGGCCUUGGCGGAGGGCGUUUAGCCUGAACGUCCACACCGCACGGUUAGAAAUCCGCGAGCAUAGGGCAGCGCAAGCUCGGACCUUCAUGCGGGCGUUUGUCCGGGCGUUUCCUUAUACAACAAAACUCGUGCUAGACAUAACAUUUCGUCGAACCGCGCGCGAGAAAAUCCAGACCGCGCUCGAGGAGCACUUCCUGGCGCUGCAGGACUUUGGUCUCCAGGUGCUGCAGCUGAACCUGGAUCUUAAUUCUUUUAACGAACGAAAGAUCAAGCUCCUGGAUGUUUCCUUGCUGGCAUCUUGGGGCCAUCUGACACGGCUCGUCCUGCAGGUAGGCCCUGGGCGGUACGCCCCGCCGUGCUCUCGCGCGAAAGAGGAAGGAAUCACAAAACUUCACUCCCAGGAACCCACCUGCAGCCUCGUCAUUCUGACACAUAAACCAGCACACGCCCAACAGAAUCAAAGCCCUGGUCGUCUCACGGUUUCCUAUUUUGUACUUUCAGACCUCGCGAGAGCGGGAAUAAGUUGAAGUUGGUGGUGUCAUUUGAAGUUUGGAGCAGGGGUGCAGUGCAGCAACACGGCACCAAAGCAAGCAGCAGCUGCAUGCCGUCGCCACGUCAGCAUACACACCGUCACCAUCUUACAACCCACGCCGACCAACAAGCAAGGCCCAGCAACCCCCCGUUUCAACAUCACCUGAUUACCAGCCCCUUCCUACCGCAUGACCACACACAUCCCGGAGCUCCCCUGUCUUCCUAGGUGGACCUGCGAUCUGGGUUCUUUCCAUUCGCUCGUCCAUUUGCGAAUUCUGUACGGGGCAUGUACUGGGACCUGACCCUUCUUCCGCUGUUUACAUGCGUAUACGCGUGUGUAUUGUAUAUGCGUUGUCCCUUUCGCGUAGUUAUGGUGGUGUGUAUGUAUGUAUGUAUGGGUGGGUGGGUGGGUGGGUGGGUGGGCUUAUGAUUUGCAUCUCCUCAAAUGGAUUAUUCCCUCAUCAUGAGGAUACAUGCAUACGUACAUACAUACGCCCCUAACCACUUAGCAUCCCACAAUCGCCGCGCGGCCAUCACUUCUGUUUCUGUCCCUCUCUCUCCACGUAUGUGGCCCCCCCACACACACGCAAAGGAAUCCGGGUGGCGGUCCCAGCAGCUGCGAGUGGACGCCAACACCGUCUUCUCCAGCCUGCCUGCCCUCCAGGAGCUGUCCGUGGUGUGCAAAUACUCGGGUCAUGUGAAGGCCAAGUGGUGGAGACCGCCGCCGCCAUCUAACCAUCAACACAAGGUGCCGACGGCACUAGGGAAGGAGCGGCGGGGAGCGGCGGCAGCGGCAGCAGCGGCGGGGACGAGACGCAUUCCAACGUGGCCGCCGGCAGCUGCCGCCGCCCCGAGCCGCAACCACGGCGGCGGUGCUGUUAGCGGCAGCACCAGCACCAGCAGCAUUGGCAUAAACGGCGGCGGCAGCGGCGGUGCUGCUGGGUCCGGUAUGUUGUUGUCGGGCCCUAUGGGGGCUGCUGGGGGCCCCCCGUUGGCGGAUCCGCACCCCAGUAACGAGACGGCGGCGGCGGGGGUCGCCGGAGGGUCACGAGAGCUCGGAUGUCUCCCAUGUGACCGGAGACCGGAGCGGUGGCCUCUAGAGCAGUGGCCUCCAGGAUUUGCGGCAGUCUUGGUUUCAGGGGGGGACGGAGGUGAUGCGGCCAUGGAUGGUGUCGCAGCAGCCGCAGCUGCUACGAACUCUGUUGCUCCGGUGACACAGCCGCCACCACCAUCCGCACCGGGCGCUUGUCAGUUUCAGAGUUUAGGGGGAAUAGGGGGAAAUCAACCAAUGAUGGUGGGUCAUGCUGCCGACGCUACAGCUGCGUCGGUAGCGGUUGCAGCAGCAUCCGCAGCCCUACAUGAAGGUGAUGGGGUGGGGGUGGGUGGAGGGCUGCUGGCGCCGUCAACGAUGGCACCGAUGGGCUUUGGGGCUGGUGCCGUGGUGGCACCGUUGCCGGUUGCCGUACGGCCGUUGGUGACUCAGCAUUUGCGGUGUCAGCUUACGCAGAAUCAGAGCAUGUCGGGAGAGCUACAGAAGGCGCUUAAGAGGAUCACGCCGGCCUUGCAGGUGCGCGUGUUUUUUGUGUGUGUUUUGGAGGGUCGAGAAAGAGAAGUGACGGGCACAACGGUGGACAAGCACGGACAAGACGGGAGGGACGCUGUUGUUGUUGUUGUCACUCUGUCAUUUUCCAUCACAUGCAUUUUGGAACGUCUGCAUUAUUUUUUCCAAUACCGUCAUUUUUUCCCUUUUCCCCUACCCCCUACCCUAUCCUUCACACCUACUUCCCCUCUCCUCCCUAUCCCUCUCUCGGGUCUGUCUGCCAACACACCCCCACGGCCCGCAGCAACACGUCUCCGCACUUACCUUUGAAAUCGUGGAGGAGACCUACCCUGAGCCCUCCCGCUGCGCCACCCCCCUGGAGCUUUCCGCCCUCCCUGGACUCAAAUCCCUGACCGUACUGUCCGGCGCCGAAGACGCCCUCUCCCACUCCAAACUCGACCUCGUGGGGGCGACCGGUCUGGAGACCUUGGUGCUGUUCGACGUCUCGUGCGGGUGUUGGUGCUACAAGAAACCCGGGCACGGCAUUCCGCCGCGGCUGCUGUCGGCGCCGCCGGCGUACUUGCGGAGCCUGACGGUGGUCGGUUUUGUCGUUGAUCAGUGUCAGAACCUGCACGCGCUGUCGUUGCUAACCAGCCUGGAGGAGCUGCGGUUAGAGCAGCCGGACCCGGAUUGCUUGGCGGCGGUGGCGGGAGAGCUGCUGCUGACGUGGCUGCCGUCGAAUCUUAGAAGCUUGAAGCUUCAUUCCGUGGUGCUGCCGCCGUGCGGGGUGCCGUCGUCAUCCGUGGCGGCGGCGGAGGCCGCGAUGGCGGGAGGGGCGGCGGGGCCGGCGGCGGCGGGGCUGCCGACGGGCUGGUUCGGCGGCGCAGGGUGCGGCAUGGACACGGCGGCCACAGCCGGCGGCGAAUGCAGCAGCAGCAGCAACAGCAACAACGCUUCGCAGCUCUUGUACGGCGUGGCACCCGUGGCGCCGCUGCCUCAGCUUCGUGAGUUGUACCUGUCCAAGUGCAAGGUCCCCACCCUGGGGCUGCUGGGGGUGUGCUCGCAGCUGACGGCGCUGGGGGUCAUCAACUGCCUCAGCAGCAGCGGCAUGAUGCCGGCCGCCGCCGCCAUGCCGGCGUUACGGUCCCUUGCCGUGAUAUAUACUUUGCCACCGGAGCAGGAAUACGGCAGUGGCGGAGUAGUUCUGUCCGGCAUGAUGCCGCCGCCAGCCUUCGCCGCCGCCGCCGCCGCUGCCGUCGCCGGCCCAUUUGGGGCGGCGGCGCCUGCCGCCAGCACGGCGGCUGCCAGAGGUGGCGGCGGCGGCGCCGCUGCCGCGGUUCCGAUCACGGUUGCUUCCACCGCCGCUGCAGACUUCGGCGGCGGCGGCGGCAGUAUCUUGGCUUGGUCCGGCGCUACCGCGGCGGCGACGACGGCAAUGCCGGCCGCCAUGCCUCAGCAGCAGCAGCACGUGCCGGGGCUGCUACUGCCGCCAGUCGUAUGGGGCAGCGACGAGCAGGUGGCGGCGGUGGCUGGGUGUCGUACAGUCACGUCUCUGGAGCUAAUCCUUCCUCGCGGCACCGCCGGCGCCGCCGCCGUGGCGUCUCUGGCGUCGUUGACGGACCUCUUGGAGCUGGAUGUCGCAUUACCUUGCGGGCUGAGCUGCUGCAUGAUGGGCCUGGCAAGACUCGGAAGGAGCAGCGGCGGGCGGCUGCGGCGGUUGACGUUGUGGGUCGACGGUCGUACAUGCGUUAAUCGGGAAAAUGCACGACAGCUGCAGGUCUGGCGGUGUGUGUGUGUGUGGGGGGGGGGAAGGCAACGGGACGUUGGGGAUUUUUUUUCUAUUUGAUGUCCUGUAUAAUUUGCAUGUUUUACAUAAUAGGCGUUUAAAGCAGACAUUUUAUAAUGUUAUAAUAGAACUACUCUUAUGUUGUAAUACAAUUUACGCGUUGUUUACGCGUAGUGGUUGACUUCUUUGCAGCGACUGGUAACUUUGGAGCUUGGGCGAUGUAUGGUUGAGGGUAGAUCGGCAGCAGCAGUGGCAGUGGCAGCAGCAGCAGUGGCAGCAGCAUUUUCUCUCUUUCCUCUCUUCUUGGCUUCUCUCCCUCCCCCCCCCGGCCGGUGAAUACAUUUGGUGGGUUGGCAUCUCCAAAUCCUCCCCCAGUCGUGCCGCCGCCUCAGAUUCCCUUUUAACGCGCCCCGUUCCCCUCACCUCACCCCCUCACCCCUCCACGCACACAAAUAGGCACUUCAACGCAGUCUGCAAACCCGCAUGCCGGACACGGCGGUGGAGUGGGCGGGAGCGGAGUCCCGACAGGGCAGCUGGACGCGGCUUGAGGCCAGGGUAUUCAACCCACACUGACAAUCUGACACCCCCUCUGAACUCGUCUUGAAGCAGCAGACCGACGGACAGACAGACAGAAACGCAUUCCAGUUAUACGAGUGGAGCAGACCAUUAGAAUCACUAUAUAUAUAUACGGAGUGGGCCUUAUAGAAAGACGAAAAAGUGGUUUGAAGAGGUUAGGGAGUACCGGCGUGAUGCUGUGUAAUGGGGGGGGAGACUGGGCAGUGGAGCACGUGGAGGGGGGUUAAGGCACGUGUUUGUGUGGUUGUGUAGUGCUAUGUGUCGGAAAGGGGGGAGCUGUUGGGGGAGUGAACGUCGACGAAACGGGCGAGGCUUGUGCUGAGCGCGGGGGUUGUUGAGGAGGACGUGGGUGUGCGUGUGUACGGGGGGAGGGUAAAGUGCGGUGGGCUUUAGGAGGGGAGGGGAGGAGGAGGAUGGGGAGGGGUGUCUGUCCGGGAAUUAGGGGUUUGGGGCGGUGUUCACAUGACAUGACAUGACGGGGUGCCUUUAGGGCGAAUUGACUGCCGUACAUCGUAAGCUCCGAAACUGGGACCACCGAACCCCCCCGGCAGCUUUCCUGAAUUCUACCCUCCUGCCGCUGCUGCUGCUGCUGCCGCUGCUCGUGUGCAGUUCACAUCACCACUUUCACGAUGGGGAUGGUAAUGUCAAACUUCAUGACGCUCGUCGCGCUGUGUGGGACAAAGUCAGCUGUUUUUGCGUAUGUGUGUCGGAGAGGGGGAGGGGUAAGAGGUGGUGUGUAUGUAUGUACGUACGUAUGCAUGUAUUUAUGUCCUCAAGAAGGAUUUCGCCUCCUGCUGUAUCCACCCUUUGAUUUGGUUCUCUUUCACUGCUUCGACGAAGUACCCGAACCCCACCUCUACAGAGAUCUUGACUGCACAAUUGGUUUGCGUUCCAAAGUCGUCCUCCCCGCGAGUCUGGAAAACAAUUUUUCCAUCUUUGUUUUUCUCUCACCUCCCGAGUAACAGCCAUGGUAUCCUCUUACCUUCUUUUGGGAGUUCGUCGUCCUUUCCUUGGUUUGCUUGUGUUUAUGCGUUUUUUUGUGCUCAUGGAGCUUUCCCCUCCCCACUGUCAAUAUUACUGAACAACAUCUUUCAACACUGCUCGGGGGCUCGGGAACAGUGUCACGGUUUCUCACCCUCCCCCUCCUCCUCGACGAUGUAUUCGCUCCUCCCCCGCCUUCCCCCGUCAAGUCGGGCGCUUGAUGUGAAUCGUGACUGAAGCGCAGUGC
rnacentral:lncRNA from 1 species